UACUGGAAGCCCCUUCUCACUACAGGAAGUCACUGCAGUCAAUUUAGAAAACAUUGCUGUAUUGUGCAUUACAAAAUAACCAAAGAACAACUAAAAAUAACUUGUCAAAAAGGCUGAAGCAAGAGGGUGUGACUACAAUGCUAACAACAUGGGUACGUUAUCUUGGAAUAAUGCACGGACAUUCCCGAGCCCAAGUUUUCCUUAUUCUGCAAAAAUUGACAUGAACCAGCAUUUAUCAAGAAGUUGGGGUAGAAGGAUGUCUUGAGAAUCCCUUUAAAGGAGCCACGAGUGCGCCAAGGGAGCGGUGAGCAGCAUCCAGAGACCAGCACUCGUCCCCUGCCCAGAGUCUGAGGAGCAGGGAACUGAAGAGCUGAUGCGUUCAGAAGCCAGUAGGUCAUAGCUCUGUGCUGAAGCUCCAGGCAAACACUUCUCAGACAAACCAGAAAGGCCCUAUCUGGCUUUUAAUAUUGAUCACUUCGCACACAUUUACUCACACACAUCACAUGUCAGAGAAAUCAAUGAACAGACAAAUUUACGCUGGCUGUGCACCAAGUAUUUCUCGUAGUAUUUGUGUUUUUUAGUUGGUGUGAGUGUAUAUGCAUGACUUAGAAAAGAGGAGAGAGUUGAAAAGUUGAAGCCAGAAAGUUCUGUGAAGAUUUUUAACAAACGAUUGUGUGGUGGUGCUGGUGGGGGGGAUAUAUAGAGGGGAGGCAUAAAGGAGGCGUUGUCGGUAGGAGAAGAGAGGAGGGGAUUAGGGUUGGCGGUUCGCUGUCGAACCAGCAUCGAUACAACGGCAGCAUUUGCCUAAUCCCCUGGUAAUGGCAGCUUAGCAGCCUCCUCGGACACACAAACACUCCCACUGCCUCCUCCUCCGCUCUGCUCCUCUCUUCUCCUUUCCUGCCCUCUUCCCUCCUCAUUUACAUAACAUUAGAAACAUUAAGGCGGCUCCAACAAGGCCCCAUUAUGUGCGUGUUGGUUUUGGGUCCCAUUGCGACGGCCCAAAAGCUUUGGAGAGGAGAGGAGCAGAAUGAGUCAGGACAUCACAGAGGCUUGUCCAGUGUUUUGUCUGCUGGAGAUGGUUUGUGUGCCUUUAAAGGACUUAAUGAAAAGAGACGGAGAAAGAAAGGGAGAAAGUGAUUUUGUUUCUGAGAGAACAGAGCUAGUGAUCUGAUUGCAGAUGUGAGACCAAAACAUCAGCUCCAACAUCCUGAAGAUGGGAAAUUAACUUCAGAUAGGUGUUUUCUGUUUUUCUGAUAAUUAAUGAGGCUGGAGUAACAUCAAAAGCACCAUGACAAUGAUGUUUCAUGGACGGUUCUUGGCACCAGAGUUGUUUUUCAGAGCUGAAGUUCAGACAUCCUCAAGGUGACAGAACCGAUAAACAGAACUGAGCUGUUCACCUAACAAAGCCACUGUUUACUCAGUCUGCCACACAUGCACAUCUUUCUUACCAUGAAACUUCAAUUUAUUAUUAAAGACAGUAGCUUUUAAACCAUAAUAUUCUAGCUUCAAGUUUGAUAAUAAUAAAUGUGAUGACAUAUUCGACAAAAGUGGUGCAAAAUAGCUGUCUUUGAAACUGGAAAGAGAUCAUAAAGUGAAUUGAUGAUUCAAUUGAAUUCAACUUGCUGUGAUAAAAAACAGACCUAAAAAAAUAGUUUUCAUGAUUGAAAAAAACUAAAUCCUAAAAGAAAUCCUAUUAUUUAUACAAAAUAAUAAUUGCAACAUUAUGCCAAUAAGACUGAAUACUAGAUAAUACUGUAUGCCACCAUACCAGAGCCAUAUCUGGAAAGGAAUAAAGGAACAACAUUUGAAAAAAACAUUCUACAAUGACUAAUUUUAUAAUCCUGCUCUUUACUAUAUUUUCAGAAACAAAUGAUGGAGGCCUUACACAGAAACAUUUGUGGCCCUCUGAGUCCAGGAAUUAAUAGCCAACAUUUUUUUAAUUAAAAAUGCUAAAUCCCCAGGUUAAACUUGGGGCAGAAAGAAGUAUUUCAGUAAAGUUGAUAUCUUCACAUCAUGUUACAGCAACAACACUUUCAGAACUAAACCGUAAAUAACAGAAAUAGAUGAAUGGCUCUUACAUGAUGUGCAACAGUGUCUUUUAGUUCCCCAUUCGGCCUGUAUACAGGUUGUGAUGCACAACCCUAACUCUAACCCUAAUAUCAGCCAUUUAGAAAUAAAUACUCAUAAAAUUAUACAAAUUAUACACAGUCUAUUAUAGGUCGUUAGUAAGUGAGAAAAGACAGAAUCCAUACUGUCUGCCUAAUAGUGGAAAAACAUAAAAUAUCUUACAAAUGAGCUGUGAUAGUAAAUUUGCCUGUCAAAAAAUUUACUUUUUACUCUCAAUUGAAUGAAUCUCACUUCAUCUCAAUUUGCUAUGGUCAUUAAAAAAAUCAUUUUUUUAAAGUGAUGUAAUGUUAUUAAUUAAUGCUAUUACCUAAUAACUGGAACAUAAUACCGUUUGAAUUGUGUCUUAGAUUUAAAAGGCAAUGAACCAUAACAGAAACAAACAAAUAACUGCAGUGUCACAGUACUUACUGAAAUGGUACCAAGGAAUUCACAUAUAUUUACAAAAGUGAGAAACACAGCACACAAUUAUCAAACUAAACAACCAUGAACCAGCAGAUAGAGAAUAGCAACAGUGCUCGAUGUUGCUCUGCUGUUUUUUUUUGUAUAACUUCCCUUCUUCCUUGCUUUCAUUUAGUCCCAUAAAGCAGAGUUUUCAGUUGGCUUCAAAGCUCUUUGCAGAUCUCAGUUGGGGGCCUUCAAAGCCCCCUGUCUGUCGGCAGGUUUAGGCACAGAGAAAGCUUCUUGUUCUUUAAGGAUUUGGCUUACAAAUAACGCCCAGCCAGGGCCAAGGCAACUAGCUUGCACCCUGACAGGAUAGUAGACAGACUUCUGCAUUUUAGUGAUGUGUUUUGGGGGCUAUUCCUGCGUCUAUCUGAAAGUGAAGGCUUGGCCCUCUGCAGGCCUCCAUCAUACAAAGUGCUAGCAAUGGCCUCAAACAGACCCUCAGCUGCUGUGUGUUGCCUCUCUGUCUGUGCAGGAUAGAGUGCGGGAUGGAGGACCUUUACCAUGGCAACCACUAAUGCAGUGUAGAUGCAGGGACUAAGCCUUGGCUAGGGUUGUACUAAUACAGGAUUCAUAGAAGGCAGGUGUAAACUCUCGACCGGUGAACCACUCCUGCUUCCAUGGUGCAACAUGAAUCCAGCUGGAAGAACGAGUGCUGCGUGGGCUCCCCGAAGUGCUGCUACACUGGGUCAUUGGAGAGCCACAACGUGUUUGGGAACAGAGCAGUCGGUGUUAUUUCAGGCUGUGCUAAAAUAACCCAGAUGGAUGAAGGGCCAUUUCACAGGCAUUAUGGAUUAAUCUUUGGCAGCAUCCCUCCUGGAUCAAACGAAAUUGGAUGUUUAACCUCACGAGCUGAGAGGUCUCUUGUGAUUAACCAGGAUUGAGAGGAUUGAAUCUGACCCGCAUUGGGUUAAACAUCACAUACUUGUAAAUGUAUUUGAGCUAACUCCUGCUGAAAAGAUGAAAAUAUAGUGUGUACACACCUCCUUCCUCAUGUGAGUGUAAUCCAAACCCUGAUAACUAUAUACGUCAUAACAUUCCAGUAAAUCAUCACUAUAUACACACAAAUAGAAGACGUUAAUAGGCCUCUGUCAUUCACUUGAUGUCUAACAUAAAUAAAAACAGGUUAAGACUUUUGAGGAAGCCAUGCAAUCACCUGAUGCCGUGUUCAGGUGAAAAAAUGACCUUCUCAAAUGAAUAGUUGUAUUUAUUACUCCACCUUGCUGUUUAUAUCUGCUACACAGCUGCAACCUACCAUAUCUUCCCUCACUUAUUAUAAACUACAAAUCACUGAGUUCAGUUUGACAGGAGCAGUGAUGGAUAGGUCUAAACAGGCAUGGUGGAGUUUUACAUUUUACAUGCAGAAGUGCAUGUAACACAUAAAAGAACAAAUAAUAAAAAGCACUAUAGGCCUGGAGAUGUGAUGUGGAUAUAAUAAAUUCCUUGUAAACACCAAUAAAAUGGACCAUGCAAUAGGAAUGAAA